UAUUUUCUUCUCUCUCCACCACGUUCCGUUGUAAUAGUACCAUGCCUCCUUCAAACCAGACUCAUCUAUGAGAAAAGCUGAUGACUGAUUCUCUUCUAAUCUCGGAAUCAUUCAGAAUGAAAAACCAUUCGUUCAUUCUCUUCGCCGAUCGCGCUCGUGCUUCGCUUCUCGUCGUCAACCACACGUUCCGUGACCUAACGUGGAGAACGAGGAAGCUAUAGGAUAGCGACGGAUCUGCCAAGGACCGCUAAAAGGUGAAGCUUUCAGACUUCUACUACUGUACUUAGUCAGGACCGCUAAAAGGUGAAGCUUUCAGACUUCUACUACUGUACUUAGUCAGGUUGAGGCACUGGAAUGGUUGGACCCUGAGUCAUUGGUUAACUCUGUUGAGCUGGUCUGCAUCAAUAAAAGUUGUUCUAUUGCAUGAUUGAAGCUGCAAGGAAAAGCUCCCUUUGUCGUUAUAAUUGGCAAUCUGAUACUGAUUUUAUGUGCAAAUAAUUCACAAAAAUUUUGAGUUAUUUAGCAUGCCUUGCCAUUGUGCUUUUCAGUUGCAUUAUGCGCUAUGAUUAUUUUUACCUUUGAUAUGAUAUUCUAUUGUAUAUAGUAACCAUUCGAGUCCAGAGGAUAAUGUCCUCAGUUCCCGGUGUAUAUUGUUUGUUCUAGUGGCACAUCACUGGGAUGAUAGGGAGAUACAGUCUAGUCCCACUUGACAUGUGGAUAUUUGAUUAACAUUAUAUGCAGAAUCUUAGAUAUUGCAAGUACAAAAGAUGUGAAUUUGUUAGAUUGUGAAAAUUAGAAUUAUGUGCUAUCAGCCAUAAGGAAAGUCUAGUAGUUUGAAUCAGAAAUGAUGAUUUAACUAUUUAAGAGUAAAUUUAGGUCUGCUCUGAAUUUGAAUUUUUUUUUCCUAUUAUCCAGUUGGUAAGUUUCUGUUUCUGCUUCAUGUUUAAGCUCUGCAUCAAGCAGGCCCAUGAUGUUGCAGAAUAUAUUGGUUUGUAUGAUUUGGGGAUAUUGAUUUUUCCUCUUAAUUGUUAGCUGUACUUCUUUAUAAUUCAUUUUGAAGAAUCAUCUGUCAUGCUUAUUUGUCACUUACUUUCUGACCUACAUAGUUACCAAUGUGUUUUAGAUUACUCAUCAAAUGUAUAGGCGGUGGCUGUGUUCUGAAUUGGAUAUAAUUGAUCACGACAUAUGUAUUUAGAAUUUAUAGAAAACAACACCAGUGAUAUUUUUAUUGCUUAAACUUUACAAGGGCAAUCAUUAUGUCUAAUCCUUAACAGCAAUCAUAUGCUUCUUGAUAGAUAAUCUCGUACCAUACAUGCAUUGUAGUGUUGAAUGGAACAAAUGCGGUUGAGGAACUACAAGACCCAACUCGUAGAAAGUCUGAUCAUUCUAGGCAGAAGUUGUAACAUAGUUGCUUCUUGUCACAAAAUGACAACCCUCCCCGAUUACUGAACAGUUUUUUGCUAAUGCAGCUGCAAUCUGGCACAGAGAUUAAGUUUAGUUUGUGAAA